CGGGAGCGGGGCCGGGAGCGGGGCCGGGAGCGGCCUUUUCCGGAGCAGGGAGACCCCCCCCGCCCCGCCUCCCCGCCGGCCGUGGCCCGGCCCUGCAGGCGCGGGCUGCCGGCUUUCCCGCAGAGCCCGGCCCCGGGCGGCAGGGGCGAGCCGGGCCGCUGAGGGGAGGCGGGCGCGGGGCCGCGGCCCUGAAGCGGCGUGACCCGGGGCAUGAAACCCCGCCGCGGUCCCUCCCCUGCCGCCCUCAGUCCAGCGCUUGCUCCCGGCAGUCCGGAGGCCGCGCGGCCGUGGCCCCGAGCUGGCCGGGGCUGCAGCUCCUGACGCUGGAGCUCUAGACGCAGGCAGUGCUGUGCCGUAGCUGCUGAGCGUUUGUUGGCACCUCUUGGGAUGGCUAAGGAAUGGAUUGUCUUGACCCACUCGUGCAUUAAGAACCAUCACCACCUGCAGAGAGCAGUGCUGUACUGGGAAGUGUACACCCUCCUCAGCAGCUGCUCAGCUCUUUACCUAAUACGUGACAUGCAAAGUCUAAACUUGAAUAAAUUAACAACAGCACUAUUCCAGAAAUCCACUUCUAUGAACAAGUCAAAUGCCCUCUGAGCAGGAACUGCUAUGAGAUUAUGCCUGCACAGGUGGGAAAACUCAGAAGCUGCAAAGUAAGAAACAGAAUAAAAAGCCAGAACCAAAUAAGGCCCUUGAAGUCUGCCAACAAGGUUAAACAUCGUGCACCAACUGUGACACCUCUGAGACACACUUAAGUCAUCAGCACUUGGCUGAGGAAGUCAAUUUUAAGUACAAAGAUGUAUAGAAGACGUAAAACAAAAUGCUUCCUUUCAACAGCUCCUGCUCUGUUGUUUCCAUCUGGACUGCUUCAGAGAUAAUACAGCUUACAAGAGCAAGUCUUACCAUCCCAUACCAGGCACAAUGGUUAUUUAGUUUUGAAAAUGAGUUAGCUGAACAAGCCACAAGACUGGUUGCAGAGAACGUCUCCAAGUAGGCGGAUCCAGACUUAACAAAUGUUCCCAGAAUCAUCCUCCAAAUUUCAGCUUUACUACAGAGCUAAGUUUCUGUUUCUGAAGAUGGAAAUAGUAGGUAUAAACACGUAACACCUCAUCAAAACUCAGUUCAUACGAAGACCACCAUAAGCCACUAGUUUUCAAAGCCUGUGAGUAUUCAAAACCAUAAACAUAUCCUGGUGUAGACCCUGGUAGAAAAUCCAGGCUAGUUGGCAAUCCAUUUGUUUUCCUUAGUUGCCAUUUACAGACUCUCUCGAAUCCACAAAUAAGAAUUUUAAACGCUAUCAUUGACUUAACUUGUUCUCUCCGGGCAUAAAAGGAACGCUUAAAAAUAAAAAUCAUAAUGCUAAGUAAAGAAACACAUUAUUUUAAGUACUACCUAUUAAACAAGUAUUAGCUUGCCACCCGUUUCACUGUUGUAUUACUAAUUUUUGAUAAGCCCUCCCAUAGAAAAUACUUGUUAAAAAAAUAACCCUCAUUCCGUAAUAUAUAUUUUAAAUAUUUCUUACUA